UCUAUUUUGGCAGAAAAUGUAAUGAAUUUAGAUUUCAUUUAUAUAUUAUUUAUUAAUAUAAAUAGAU
rnacentral:tRNA from 1 species